rnacentral:lncRNA from 1 species
GCUGCUGGCUGCAUGCUCUGCUGAGUCACUGGCCUUGGCAAGAGGCAUUGGCUGAGACCCGGUAGGCAGGUGAUGGACAGAUAAAACAGCUCUUCAAACCACGCUGUUCUUUAACAGGCAUCUUUUUUGCCGAAUCAGAAAUGGAGAGAACCUUCCUCGUGAAUCACACGUAGAACGCAUGCCUGCAUUCUGUCGAACGAAGCACACGAUUUGGAAUUAAACAAUCGGAUGGGAGUUUAAGCCACGGCACCCCAA